GGGAGCUUGCUCCCGGAUGUUAGCGGCGGACGGGUGAGUAACACGUGGGUAACCUGCCUGUAAGACUGGGAUAACUCCGGGAAACCGGAGCUAAUACCGGAUAGUUCCUUGAACCGCAUGGUUCAAGGAUGAAAGACGGUUUCGGCUGUCACUUACAGAUGGACCCGCGGCGCAUUAGCUAGUUGGUGGGGUAAUGGCUCACCAAGGCGACGAUGCGUAGCCGACCUGAGAGGGUGAUCGGCCACACUGGGACUGAGACACGGCCCAGACUCCUACGGGAGGCAGCAGUAGGGAAUCUUCCGCAAUGGACGAAAGUCUGACGGAGCAACGCCGCGUGAGUGAUGAAGGUUUUCGGAUCGUAAAGCUCUGUUGUUAGGGAAGAACAAGUGCGAGAGUAACUGCUCGCACCUUGACGGUACCUAACCAGAAAGCCACGGCUAACUACGUGCCAGCAGCCGCGGUAAUACGUAGGUGGCAAGCGUUGUCCGGAAUUAUUGGGCGUAAAGGGCUCGCAGGCGGU
rnacentral:rRNA from 1 species